rnacentral:rRNA from 1 species
GACGAACGCUGGCGGCGUGCUUAACACAUGCAAGUCGAACGGAAAGGCCCUGCUUUUGUGGGGUGCUCGAGUGGCGAACGGGUGAGUAAAACGUGAGUAACCUGCCCUUGUCUUUGUGAUAACUUCAGGAAACUGGGGCUCAUACCCGAGAGGAUCUCCUGCUCCAUGGUGGGGGUUGGAAAGUUUCGGCGGUUGGGGCUGGACUCGCGGGUUAUCAGCUUGUUGGUGGGGUAGGUGCUUUCCAGGCCUUUGACGGGUAGCCGGCAUGAGAGGGUGGCCGGCCACAAGGGGACUGAGAUACGGACCAGACUCGAAUGGGAGGCAGUAGUGGGGAAUAUUGCACAACGGGCGGAAGCCUGAUACAGAAGCGUCGCGUGCGGGAUGACGGCCUUCGGGGUGUAAACAGCUUUCGACGGUGACGAAGAGUGAGUGACGGUAAUGGGUAAAGAAGCACCGGCUAACUACGUG